UGGGUCCUGUGCGAUGGAGGGCUGUGAAUCAUGUCAGGUUCGGAAGAAAGCAGCAUUAAGCGGAUUCCUUCAUGUGCCGCAGCA
rnacentral:SRP_RNA from 1 species